GAUGAACGCUGGCGGCGUGCCUAAUACAUGCAAGUCGAGCGAACAGACGAGGAGCUUGCUCCUCUGACGUUAGCGGCGGACGGGUGAGUAACACGUGGAUAACCUACCUAUAAGACUGGGAUAACCUCGGGAAACCGGAGCUAAUACCGGAUAAUAUAUUGAACCGCAUGGUUCAAUAGUGAAAGACGGUUUUGCUGUCACUUAUAGAUGGAUCCGCGCCGCAUUAGCUAGUUGGUAAGGUAACGGCUUACCAAGGCAACGAUGCGUAGCCGACCUGAGAGGGUGAUAGGCCACACUGGAACUGAGACACGGUCCAGACUCCUAAGGGAGGCAGCAGUAGGGAAUCUUCCGCAAUGGGCGAAAGCCUGACGGAGCAACGCCGCGUGAGUGAUGAAGGUCUUCGGAUCGUAAAACUCUGUUAUUAGGGAAGAACAAAUGUGUAAGUAACUAUGCACGUCUUGACGGUACCUAAUCAGAAAGCCACGGCUAACUACGUG
rnacentral:rRNA from 1 species